CCUACGGGAGGCAGCAGUGAGGAAUCUUGCGCAAUGGGCGAAAGCCUGACGCAGCGACGCCGCGUGAGGGAUGAAGGCCUUCGGGUCGUAAACCUCUGUCAGGGGGGAAGAACCCCCGGUCGGUGAACAACCGCCCGGGCUGACGGUACCCCCAGAGGAAGCACCGGCUAACUCCGUGCCAGCAGCCGCGGUAAGACGGAGGGUGCAAACGUUGUUCGGAAUCACUGGGCGUAAAGGGCGCGUAGGCGGACCUGUAAGUCGGGAGUGAAAACUCGGGGCUCAACUCCGAGCCUGCUUCUGAAACUGCGGGUCUUGAGGACCGGAGAGGAGAGCGGAAUUCCUGGUGUAGCGGUGGAAUGCGUAGAUAUCAGGAAGAACACCGGCGGCGAAGGCGGCUCUCUGGACGGUUCCUGACGCUGAGGCGCGAAAGCUGGGGGAGC
rnacentral:rRNA from 1 species